rnacentral:rRNA from 1 species
CCUACGGGGGGCAGCAGUGGGGAAUAUUGGACAAUGGGGGAAACCCUGAUCCAGCGACGCCGCGUGAGUGAAGAAGUAUUUCGGUACGUAAAGCUCUAUCAGCAGGAAAGAAAAUGACGGUACCUGACUAAGAAGCCCCGGCUAACUACGUGCCAGCAGCCGCGGUAAUACGUAGGGGGCAAGCGUUAUCCGGAUUUACUGGGUGUAAAGGGAGCGUAGACGGCAGCGCAAGUCUGGAGUGAAAUGCCGGGGCCCAACCCCGGAACUGCUCUGGAAACUGUACGGCUGGAGUGCAGGAGAGGUAAGUGGAAUUCCUAGUGUAGCGGUGAAAUGCGUAGAUAUUAGGAGGAACACCAGUGGCGAAGGCGGCCUGCUGGGCUUUUACUGACGCUGAGGCUCGAAAGUGUGGGGAGCAAACAGGAUUAGAUACCCCAGUAGUC